UCGCAAGGGGAAAGGAGUUUGAUACGUGCAUAGACGUGGCUGGCAGUUGCCUCUGCAUGUUGUUAUGUUGCCUGUUGCUGCAGUAGGAGUCUGUUAUUAUCCUCUGUGAUUGCAUUAUGAGUUGUUCCUUAUUUAAUUCCUUAUUUUUAGUAAUAGAUUGUUUAGUUUGAAUAAAGUCUUGUAGUCUAACAUAUAGUCUACUAAGUCAUAGGUAGUUGAGUUGUUGCCUAUCUUGUAGGAACCAACUCCUUUAUUUUUCUGAAUUUGUUAUUUGUAAGCUCUAUUUAAUUCAGCAGAGGAUAUGGAAGUAAGCAUCAGAUAAUUAUUAUCCAAAUUUGGACUUGAGGUCAGGAUUUCCUCCAUAAAAUCCGAACGUCUCUUAUUUAUCUUUUUCUUCAUUCUUCACCAUAGGUAAAGAUAUUGUCCAGUACAUACCAGAAGUUAAGUCCAUUUGCAUGGGCUCCACAGUCCACACUCCAAGUUUUCUACACCGAGGGCUAUAAAACUAACAAAACUCCUCCAAAUCCUCUCCAAGCCGGCAUGUUAAAGAAAAUGAUAUCAUCUUCCAGUAAUGCCCACAUGUCCCUCUUUAAUAAUGAGGUAUCAAGGAUUUCAAUCCUCCAUUCCCCAUCUAUUGAAUUGAAAAAAAUAAAAUAAAAAAUAAAAAAAAUCUUAGCCAUAUUCUUUUUAUCCUUCAAAUUUGGACGAAUUAACAGGUCAAAGUCCAAUUUGCCAAGUAUAAAGAGAUUCUCGCAGUUGUGUACCACUUUCUCUUUCUCGCUCACACACUCAAACUCACGGAGCUCCCCCCUUCUUCAAUGGCACAGCUAGGAUUAACUGCUUCGGCAACACUCGUAUCCAUCAAAGGUAUGGUCUCUUUUCUCUCUGAACCGUAUUUAAUGCCACUGAUUGCUUAGAAUUGCAUUUACAUACAUACAAACACGUUGAUUAACUAAGAUACUCCGAUGAGUUCCUCUUAAAUUUUGAGAAAAUCUAGAAACCCCAAUUUUAACUGAAACUUUAGGUAUCUCUGUCGUACAUUACUCUGCUUUUCAGGGAAAAAAAGAAAAUUAAUAUCACUUUAAUCUAGCCAAAUGUUGGUUGGGUUGUGCAUGUUUCUUUCCCUUUUGUUAUUAAGCUUAAAUACUAGUUAUUAAGCUUAACUGUUUUUAACUAUGCAUAAUUGGCAAUUAUUUGAUUUUAUAGCUAUGCAAUCUUUUACGCUAAUCCUUAAUUGCAUCUCUUUCUCCCUUGUAGUUCAGGUCGUGUGAUGCUGGAUUGAGCUGGUGACAGAAGAAUUAUGUAGUUACUUCUUUUAUGAGCUAAGCUUAUGUCGUGUUUUGGAGCUGAUUCAUUUUUGUUUAUUUAGGUUGGUAGAUGGAGCAUUGUAUGAUUGUUUACUAAUGUCACUGAGAAUAAGUUUCUACCUGUUUGUUUCUUGAUUUUGAGUAUUUGGAUUAUGAUUAUCCACAUUUCAUAGAAAUGGAUAAUUGAGCAAAAUUAGUUCUCUGUACUUAUGACUCUUAUUCCGGAGAAAUUUUUUUUUUUUUAUUUAAUUUUUUUCCCCUCGUUAUGCUUAUGUUACAUUCCUUUUUCAUUCUGAUACUAGAUAAAAAUAAGGUCUUUGAAAUUAAAAUAGCUUCAUUGGGAAUUUGGGAUAGACAGAUUACAUUUGAUGUUAUUUUCGGAUUGGGCUGAAAUUGAUUCUAUUCUUUCAAUAACAAAAGCUUGCCUCAACCUACGGUGGACUUGAAUCUGGUAGUUUUUCAUUGUGUCAUAGAGAUCAAGUAAUCCACAUGUUUGGUGGUGACGCUUGGUAAUGGCGCAAAAUGCUUGCAUGUUAUGAGAGGGAUGCAUGUGGUAUUUACAGCUAGCUUCUUUUUUCUAUCAUUUUCCCUGUGUUUUUAGGAUUAAAUCCUUCUUGAUGGAUCUAGAAGUUGAAAGUGAGUUUCUCUACUUGGUAGUUCUGACUGUAGUCAAUAGACUAGGUAGCCAAGUGCAUGUCGGGUAAGUUCCGACCCGCAUGAAAGGCAUAAUGAUUUGGGCACUGUCUUGGAGAGAGACUCUGGUGAAAUAGACAUGUCUGUUAAGAUGCGGACUACCUGCACCUAGACAGAAAGACCCUAUGAAGCUUCACUGUUCCCUGGGAUUGGCUUUGGGCCUUUCCUGCGCAGCUUAGGUGGAAGGGCGGAGAAGGCCUCCUUCCGAGGGGGGGAGGCAGUGAGCCAUCAGUGAGAUAUUACUUUGGAAGAGCUAGAAUUCUAACAUUGUGUUAGGACCUACAGGCCAAGGGGCAGUCUCAGGUAAAUAGUUUCUAUGGGGGCGUAGGCCUCCCAAAAGGUAACGGAGGCGUGCAAAGGUUUCCUCUUGCUUAGACGGAGAUUGGCCCUCGAAUGCAAGGGCAGAAGGAAGCUUGACUGCAAGACCCACCCGUUAAGCAAGGGAUGAAAGUCGGCCUUAGUGAUCCAAUGGUGCCGAGUGGAAGGCCCGUCGCUCAACAGAUAAAAGUUACUUUAGUGAUAGCAUGUUGAUCUUCCCCUAGAGCUCACAUUGACAGGAAAGUUUGACACCUCAAUGUCGGCUCUUCGCCACAUGGGGCUGUAGUAUGUUCCAAGGGUUGGGCUGCUUGCCCAUUAAAGCGGUACAUGAGUUGGGUUUAGAACGUCGUGAGAUAGUUCGGUUCAUAUCUGGUGUGGGCGUUAGCGCAUUGAGAAGGACCUUUCCCUAGUAUGAGAAGGAUCGGGAAGGACGCACCUCUUGUGUACCAGUUAUCGUGCCCACGGUAAACGUUGGGUAGCCAAGUGCAGAGUGGAUAAUUGCUGAAAGCAUCUAAGUAGUAAGCCCACCCCAAUAUAUAUUGUUGACAUGUGCCUAGAUCUGCUAAAAAUAUGAAUAAUUGCUUAUUGGUCCUUGGUGGGGUUUACCAUUUUAGUUUUUUUCUUUUUGGGGUAAUUAAUGAAAUAUCAUUAGGCAAA
rnacentral:rRNA from 1 species